UGUUGUUUUCUCGAAAAUCAAUUAAAAAGAGUUUGAUUUUGUUGUGUAUUGACCUUAACAGCUUGCAUUUCAAUUUUCUUGCUUUUUUUAAUGCACUUUUCGUUUAACAAGUCAACAUCAGUUUCUUUUGUUGUAAAAGGGUCAUUGGAAGGUGGCUUUCUUUUCGGAGAAAGUGUUUAUAGCCUUUGGCCUCUGCAAUCGGAGAGAUUGAGGUCUGCAGCGUAGAUCCUUCGGGGUUAGAUACAUUUGUGCUAAGUUAUAGCCUUUCAUAGACAACUUGUUGACUAUGAUCAGUCAUGUAGCUUACUCGCUUAUGCUAUUUUACCUAC
rnacentral:rRNA from 1 species